UACGUAGGUGGCAAGCGUUGUCCGGAUUUAUUGGGCGUAAAGGGAGCGCAGGCGGUGAUUUAAGUCUGAUGUGAAAGCCCUCGGCUCAACCGUGGAAUGUCAUUGGAAACUGGGUCACUUGAGUGCAGAAGAGGAGAGUGGAAUUCCAUGUGUAGCGGUGAAAUGCGUAGAUAUAUGGAGGAACACCAGUGGCGAAGGCGACUCUCUGGUCUGCAACUGACGCUGAGGCCCGAAAGCGUGGGGAGCAAACAGG
rnacentral:rRNA from 1 species